GAGAUAGUUAAUAAUAGAAUGAGUGAGGGAGAGAGAGUAUGUUUAAGAGACUAAGAGAGGGUGAUAAGAUAAAAUAAAAUAUAUAAAUGUCACAUAAAUCAUUAUAAUUCAUUACUUAUCUGCUUCAUAUUAUAUGUAUGUCAUGGAUAUUAGAAAUCAAAAAAGUUGGAUGUAUAACCGAUUGACGUAAGGACGAAAGACAUUAACAGAUGAAUUCAUUAAUGGGGUGAACAUUUUCAUUUAGACAGCAAAACAACUACCCAGCUUCAUAUCAGAUGGAAUGUUUCGAUGUCCAUGUUCUAAACAUAAAAAUCUAGUGCACCUAAGACCAAAUGAUGUAACUGUUGAUCUGUAUUGCAGAGGAUUCAUGCCAUGGUAUUGGUAUUGGUAUUGGACUUCUCAUGGUGAGUACGAGCUACAUUUUUUAUGUGCAGAUGACUUCAGGUGAAGAGCCUAGCAGAGGAUUGAUCAAAAUAUUUUUAAUAGGCGUAGCAAGAAGAUCACUAUAGUUGGACCAUCUAGGCCAGUACGUACUGAGGGGACCACUUCGUCUCAGCCUGCUACACAUUCUCAGCCUGCCACACAUACUCAGCCUCCCUCUUAGCCUACCACUCAGCCUACCACUUAAUCUCAGCCUACCACUCAGUCUUUACCCACUCCUGGAGUCAGUAGCCCGCAGUUCUACUCACUAGAUCCCACGCAGAGUACUCAUUUCUACCCUUACUACCCACCCCCACCUUAUGGUGCCCCUCCUACUUAUCCAUAUCCACCAUAUGUUUCACCAUACUACCCCCUCAGCCUACUACAGGUGGACCUUCGACACCAGCUGCACCAGAGCAUGCGACAGAUGGUCGAAUGUUGAUAGCACCUGACGGUGACACGUUCUACCCAUCAAAACAAUCGACACAUAAAAUACGGGACAUCAUACGAAGCAGGUUUGACACUCCUUAUGUUUCUUGGAAGAAAGUCCCAAAAGAAGUCCGGGAAAUGUGGUUUAGAGAGUUUGAGAAAGAUUUUUGUUGCUGCCCCAGCAUAAUGAUAAAAUUAGAAAGAAUUUUGAGAAGCGUGGGUCCACUCAGAUGCGCGACAUGUUCAUAGAUAUUAGAAAGACUGGCGAGCGGCCAUUGUGGAUGGGAGAGACUAUAUGGGCUGAGUUGAACACUGCUUGGGGCAGUGCAGAGUAUAGCAGGAGGAGGGAUUAAAAUCGACAUAACAGAGCUUAUGAUGUUGGGGGCUUGGGUAGUUCCCUUCAUAUUGGCGGCUCAAAUCCACAUACUGAGCACAUGCGACGUUUGAUAAUGAAUUUUAAAAAGUAUUUUAAAAUUUUUCUUUAAUAGAA